ensembl:lncRNA
GGGUCAGGGUUGGGUCUGGGGACAUCUCGGUCUUCUCAUGCCUUAUGGGGUGAUCCUGGGUGUGUUUAUGGGGUCAGGGUUGGGUUUGGGGACAUCUGGGUUCAUCCCAUGCCUUAUGGGGUGAUCCUAGUGGUGUUUAUGGGGUGAUCCUGGGGGUGUUUAUGGGGUCAGGGUUGGGUUUGGGGAUACCUGGGGUCAUGCCAGGCCUUAUGGGGUGAUCCUGGGGGUGUUUAUGGGGUCAGGGUUGGGUUUGGUGACAUCUGGGUUCAUCCCAUGCCUUAUGGGGUGAUCCUGGGGUGUGUUUAUGGGGUCAGGGUUGGGUUUCUGGUCUUUUGGGAUCGAUGGAAGGAUCAGAACUUUUGGGAGGUCUGUAUGGGAUCUUGGCCAUCCUUUGGGGCCACCCCACACCCUCCAGGCCGACCCUGGUGGUAUUUAUGGGGUCAGGGUUGGGUUUGGGGAUACCUGGGGUCAUCCCAGGCCUUAUGGGGUGAUCCUAGUGGUGUUUAUGGGGUGAUCCUGGGGGUGUUUAUGGGGUCAGGGUUGGAAGCUCUUAGGAAGGUCUGUAUGGGAUUUUGGCCAUCCUUUGGGACACGUGAGGCCACCCCACACCCUCCAGGCCGACCCUGGUGGUGUUUAUGGGGUCAGGGUUGGGUUUGGGGAUACCUGGGGUCAUCCUAUGCCCUAUGGGAUGGUCCUGGGGGUGUUUAUGGGGUCUGGGUUGGGUCUGGGGACACCUGGGGUCAUCUCAUGCCCUAUGGGAUUGUCCUGGGGGUGUUUAUGGGGUGAUCCUGGGGGGUGUUUAUGGGGUCAGGGUUGGAAGCUCUUAGGAAG